GCUGACGGAAGCAGCUGUAAGUUGGUGCGCGCCUCUGCCGUGAAGCGAGGAGCAGCGCCCAAGCCGG
rnacentral:SRP_RNA from 1 species